rnacentral:rRNA from 1 species
GUGGGGAAUUUUGGACAAUGGGCGCAAGCCUGAUCCAGCAAUGCCGCGUGCAGGAAGAAGGCCUUCGGGUUGUAAACUGCUUUUGUACGGAACGAAACGGUCCGGGUUAAUACCCUGGGCUAAUGACGGUACCGUAAGAAUAAGCACCGGCUAACUACGUGCCAGCAGCCGCGGUAAUACGUAGGGUGCAAGCGUUAAUCGGAAUUACUGGGCGUAAAGCGUGCGCAGGCGGUUUUGUAAGACAGGCGUGAAAUCCCCGGGCUCAACCUGGGAAUUGCGCGUGGGACUGCAAGGCUGGAGUGCGGCAGAGGGGGAUGGAAUUCCGCGUGUAGCAGUGAAAUGCGUAGAUAUGCGGAGGAACACCGAUGGCGAAGGCAAUCCCCUGGGCCUGCACUGACGCUCAUGCACGAAAGCGUGGGGAGCAAACAGGAUUAGAAACCCUUGUAGUCC